GUCAAUCUUCCGAAAAGGAGAAGAAAGCAAAAUUGAAAGUGAUUGGGUAAAGGACCCAUAAAAUUGAAUGGUUUUCCAACCGCUCGGGGACGCCUUACAUCAAAAUUACAACCACCCCCUCCCCAUCUCCGCCCUGAUUUACACCUGGAGAUGCUCCCCAAACACAUGGGGAAAAUGGUGAUUCGGACGAGGUCAUAAGUUGGGAAAACGAAACAACAUAUGACAAAGCUGUAAGGUUUACCGUUGGUUGCCUCUCCUCUCUGCCUUUCUUUUUUUCAUUUUGUUUUCUUUUGUUUUUUUUGCAAGUGGUAAUCAAUGCUUCAAUGAACGAUUGUAAUGUUUAGUGCUUUUCGCAAGUGGGAAGGAAAAAUAAUUUAACGAUAGGAUGAUUCCAUUGUUCCAUUCAAGCCAG
rnacentral:lncRNA from 1 species